rnacentral:tRNA from 1 species
CUGCGCGCUGGGGGAGGACUCCAGGGCCCUACGCGGACGCCGAGGGCGGUAUCCGCACCCGUACGGGUUCGACGCCUGCUUCGUUGU